GGCGAUUUAGCUCAGUUGGUUAGAGCGUGUGCUUAACACUUCGUACAGAUGUCCCUUCACCGGUUCUCUGUAGAGCGUUGCGCACAAGGUCGGCGGUUCGACCCCGUCAAACGUCA